CAGGUGCUGCAUGGCUGUCGUCAGCUCGUGUUGUGAAAUGUUGGGUUAAGUCCCGCAACGAGCGCAACCCUUAUCCUUUGUUGCCAGCGGUCCGGCCGGGAACUCAAAGGAGACUGCCAGUGAUAAACUGGAGGAAGGUGGGGAUGACGUCAAGUCAUCAUGGCCCUUACGACCAGGGCUACACACGUGCUACAAUGGCGCAUACAAAGAGAAGCGACCUCGCGAGAGCAAGCGGACCUCAUAAAGUGCGUCGUAGUCCGGACUGGAGUCUGCAACUCGACUCCAUGAAGUCGGAAUCGCUAGUAAUCGUGGAUCAGAAUGCCACGGUGAAUACGUUCCCGGGCCUUGUACACACCGCCCGUCACACCAUGGGAGUGGGUUGCAAAAGAAGUAGGUAGCUUAACCUUCGGGAGGGCGCUUACCACUUUGUGAUUCAUGACUGGGGUGAAGUCGUAACAAGGUAACCGUAGGGGAACCUGCGGUUGGA
rnacentral:rRNA from 6 species